rnacentral:rRNA from 1 species
AUGGAGCGGCAGCCUCGGCCGCAGCUGGCCGUGGCGGAGGAGGCCAUCGCGCUCUACGACACCUACUGGUUCCACCGCCUCGUCCUCAACGCCUACUCCCCUCCCGCGCCCCAGCCGCCGCCGCCGGCGCCUGAGCGCGAGCAGCCGGAGCAGGCGCCGGCGGAGGAGAGCAAGAGCGAGCUGCGGCGGGCCCCGUCCGGGCUGCAGCGGCACCGCAGGACGCGGAGCGACGAGGCCAAGGCCGCCGCGUUCCACGGCCAGCUGGAGCCGCUCAAGAUCCCCAACGGCCACCGCGCGAGGCUCGAGACCAUCCUGUCCGGGAAGGACGGCCUGGCCGCGCCGGAGCCGCUGCCCGAGCGCCGGAGGCCGGAGGCGCGGCGGCCCGGCGGGAGGAGGCGGAGGAGCCGCCGCGGGCGGAGCCUGUCGGAGCUGGAGUUCGAGGAGGUCAAGGGCCUGCAGGACCUCGGCUUCACCUUCUCCGAGACCGACGUCGACGCCGAGCUCGCGUCCAUCGUGCCGGGGCUCAGGCGGCUGCGCGCGGAGGAAGAAGCCAGAAGAGCCAAGGCGGCGGAGGCGGCGGCCUGCGCCGAGGAGGAAGCCUGUAGGAACAGGGCCGCCGCGGAGGCCUCCGACGCGGCGCCGAGGAGGCCGUACUUGUCGGAGGCGUGGGAGGACGAGGAGACGGAGGUGAGGCGGGUGCUGAGCAACUUCAGGAUCCCGGCCGCCGCCGACGGCGCUGACCUCAAGGAGAACCUCCGGCUCUGGGCGCACACCGUGGCCUCCGCCGUCCGGUGA